rnacentral:rRNA from 1 species
UACGUAGGAGGCAAGCGUUGUCCGGAUUUACUGGGCGUAAAGGGCUCGCAGGCGGUUCACUAAGUCUGACGUGAAAUCUCCCGGCUUAACUGGGAGGGUGCAUUGGAAACUGGCGAACUUGAGGGCAUCAGAGGAGAGUGGAAUUCCCGGUGUAGUGGUGAAAUGCGUAGAUAUCGGGAGGAACACCAGUGGCGAAGGCGGCUCUCUGGGACAACACUGACGCUGAAGCACGAAAGCGUGGGGAGCAAACAGG